AAGGAAUUGACGGGGACCCGCACAAGUAGCGGAGCAUGUGGUUUAAUUCGAAGCAACGCGAAGAACCUUACCUAAGCUUGACAUCCCAAUGACAUCUCCUUAAUCGGAGAGCUCCCUUCGGGGACAUUGGUGACAGGUGGUGCAUGGUUGUCGUCAGCUCGUGUCGUGAGAUGUUGGGUUAAGUCCCGCAACGAGCGCAACCCUUGUCUUUAG
rnacentral:rRNA from 1 species